GCCCCCGUAGCUCAGCGGACAGAGCAAGAGGUUUCUAACCUCUAGGCCGCACGUUCGAAUCGUGCCGGGGGUA
rnacentral:tRNA from 1 species